AUUUUUCUGGGCCAAGGGCAUGCCGGUUGCGCUACUGUCCAAUGAACGUCUAUUGAGGACAGUACUGCUAACACCUAAACAACACGCUCGCAUCAGUCUCUGUUUUUGGAAUC
rnacentral:snRNA from 1 species